rnacentral:rRNA from 1 species
CGGGAAGAGCUCAAAUUUGAAAUCUGGUGGCCUCAGGCUAUCCGAGUUGUAAUCUAUAGAAACAUUUUCCGCGUUGGCCCAUGUACAAGUCUCUUGGAAUAGAGCGUCAUAGAGGGUGAGAAUCCCGUCCUUGACAUGGACUACCAGUGCUUUGUGAUAUGUUUUCAAC